rnacentral:rRNA from 1 species
UCAACAUGAGAGUUUGAUCCUGGCUCAGAACGAACGCUGGCGGCAGGCUUAACACAUGCAAGUCGAGCGCCCCGCAAGGGGAGCGGCAGACGGGUGAGUAACGCGUGGGAACGUACCCUUUACUACGGAAUAACGCAGGGAAACUUGUGCUAAUACCGUAUGUGCCCUUCGGGGGAAAGAUUUAUCGGUAAAGGAUCGGCCCGCGUUGGAUUAGCUAGUUGGUGGGGUAAAGGCCUACCAAGGCGACGAUCCAUAGCUGGUCUGAGAGGAUGAUCAGCCACAUUGGGACUGAGACACGGCCCAAACUCCUACGGGAGGCAGCAGUGGGGAAUAUUGGACAAUGGGCGCAAGCCUGAUCCAGCCAUGCCGCGUGAGUGAUGAAGGCCCUAGGGUUGUAAAGCUCUUUCACCGGAGAAGAUAAUGACGGUAUCCGGA